rnacentral:rRNA from 1 species
GAUGAACGCUGGCGGCGUGCCUAAUACAUGCAAGUCGAGCGAACGGACGAGAAGCUUGCUUCCCUGAUGUUAGCGGCGGACGGGUGAGUAACACGUGGAUAACCUACCUAUAAGACUGGGAUAACUUCGGGAAACCGGAGCUAAUACCGGAUGAUAUUUUGAACCGCAUGGUUCAAAAGUGAAAGACGGUCUUGCUGUCACUUAUAGAUGGAUCCGCGCUGCAUUAGCUAGUUGGUAAGGUAACAGCUUACCAAGGCAACGAUGCAUAGCCGACCUGAGAGGGUGAUCGGCCACACUGGAACUGAGACACGGUCCAGACUCCUACGGGAGGCAGCAGUAGGGAAUCUUCCGCAAUGGGCGAAAGCCUGACGGAGCAACGCCGCGUGAGUGAUGAAGGUCUUCGGAUCGUAAAACUCUGUUAUUAGGGAAGAACAUAUGUGUAAGUAACUGUGCACAUCUUGACGGUACCUAAUCAGAAAGCCACGGCUAACUACGUG